GAUGAACGCUGGCGGCGGGCUUAAUACAUGCAAGUCGAGGGGUGGUAGCAAUACUACACCGGCGCACGGGUGCGUAACGCGUAUGCAAUCUACCUUUAUCUGGGGGAUAGCCCGGGGAAACCCGGAUUAAUACCGCAUAACAAAUUUCUUGGCAUCAAGAGAUUUUAAAAGAUUUAUCGGAUAGAGAUGAGCAUGCGUAAGAUUAGAUAGUUGGCGAGGUAACGGCUCACCAAGUCUACGAUCUUUAGGGGCUCUGAGAGGAGAAUCCCCCACACUGGACAGGAGGUACGGGCCAGACUCCUCGGGGAGGCAGCAGUAGGGAAUAUUGGGCAAGGGGCGCAAGCCUGACCCAGCCACGCCGCGUGCAGGAAGAAGGCCCUCUGGGUUGUAAACUGCUUUUGACCGGGAAGAAAAGAACCUUUGCGAAGGGAGUUGACGGUACCGGCAGAAUAAGCCACGGCUAACUACGUGCCAGCCGCCGCCGUAAUAC
rnacentral:rRNA from 1 species